UGGCUCAGGAUGAACGCUGGCGGCGUGCCUAACACGAUGCAAGUCGAGCGGGGACUCCCAAGUAGCAAUGCGGCGGAGGUUCAGCGGCGGACGGGUGAGUAACACGUGAGCAAUCUGCCUUCGGGCUGGGGAAUAACAUUGUGAAAACAGUGCUAAUACCGCAUGACGUCCUUGCUGGGCAUCCGAGUGGGGACCAAGGAGCAAUCCGGCCGGAGAUGAACUCGCGUCCGAUUAGCUGGUUGGCGGGGCAACGGCCCACCAAGGCGACGAUCGGUAGCCGAACUGAGAGGUUGAUCGGCCACAUUGGGACUGAGACACGGCCCAGACUCCUACGGGAGGCAGCAGUGGGGAAUAUUGGGCAAUGGGGGAAACCCUGACCCAGCAACGCCGCGUGAAGGACGAAGGCCUUCGGGUUGUAAACUUCUUUGAUCAGGGACGAACGAUGACGGUACCUGAAGAACAAGCCACGGCUAACUACGUGCCAGCAGCCGC
rnacentral:rRNA from 1 species